rnacentral:lncRNA from 1 species
GUCUGCAUUCAACCCUAGUUCCCGCUGUCUAGAUGACUUGAUCUUGACCCCUCGGAGACGAACAUCAAUCCCAUCAUCUCGGCACUCCACGAUGCGGAUCUCGAUGAUCGGGAGGUGGACGGUCAUGUCCUCCAGGACACAGACAUCCCCGAUGAGGGUCUCGUCAAUGCUCACGUCACUCAGCUUCUUCAGGUUGUCCCCUUCACCC